GUUUGCUGUUGGCCAAAACCAGGCUUUGAUUGGACCAGGAUGAAUCUGGGUGUGGGAAAUAGAAUAUAUAUGUAAUUGGUUGAGCCACGUGUGCCAGUGUGUUGUCAGCUUGAUCUUUGCUUGAUUCAUUCUGCCUUGUAACAGAAAUUGGUGGUGGAAUAUGAGAGGAGGCUCUGGAAAGAAAAGGACAGACCUGUGCUUCCAUGAAAGUGAAGAGCUGGCUGAACCAGUUCGACAAGAUUGUUGUGGACAUAGCUGUGCCCACUUGGAAGAGUCAUUGUUAGAUCUUGGGGAAAUUUCUAACUUUUUAAGAAAAUAAAAUCUUUGAAGUAAAAA